UUGGGCGUANGCGUCUGUAGGUGGUUUUUUAAGUCUACUGUUAAAUAUUAAGGCUUAACCUUAAAAAAGCGGUAUGAAACUAAAAAACUUGAGUUUAGUAGAGGUAGAGGGAAUUCUCGGUGUAGUGGUGAAAUGCGUAGAGAUCGAGAAGAACACCGGUAGCGAAAGCGCUCUACUGGGCUAAAACUGACACUGAGAGACGAAAGCUAGGGGAGCAAAUAGGAUUAGAUACCCUAGUAGUCCUAGCUGUAAACGAUGGAUACUAAGUGUUGGGCUAUAAAAAGCUCAGUGCUGUAGCUAACGCAUUAAGUAUCCCGCCUGGGAAGUAUGCUCGCAAGAGUGAAACUCAAAGGAAUUGACGGGGGCCCGCACAAGCGGAGGAACAUGUGGUUUAAUUCGAUGAUACGCGAGGAACCUUACCUGGGCUUAAAUGUAGGACGACCGUACCCGAAAGGGUACUUUCUUCGGACGGCUUACAAGGUGCUGCAUGGUUGUCGUCAGCUCGUGCCGUGAGGUGUCGGGUUAAGUCCCAUAACGAGCGCAACCCUUACCGUUAGUUACCAUCAGUUCGGCUGGGGACUCUAACGGGACUGCCACCGUAAGGUGAGAGGAAGGUGGGGAUGACGUCAAAUCAGCACGGCCCUUAUGUCCAGGGCUACACACGUGUUACAAUGGCCGGUACAAAGGGCAGCUACUGUGCGAACAGGUGCAAAUCCCUAAAGCCGGUCUCAGUUCGGAUCGAAGUCUGCAACCCGACUUCGUGAAGCUGGAUUCGCUAGUAAUCGCGCAUCAGCCAUGGCGCGGUGAAUACGUUCCCGGGCCUUGUACACACCGCCCGUCAAACCAUGGAAGCUGGGGGUACCUGAAGUCUGUGANCGCAAGGAGCGGCCUANGGUAAAACUGGUGACUGGGGUUAAGUCGUAACAAGGUAGCCNUCUUUCUAGAANAUCU
rnacentral:rRNA from 1 species